rnacentral:rRNA from 1 species
UGGAGUGUCUAUUCCGAGGAGGAAACACCCGUUCCCAUUCCGAAUACGGUAGUUAAGCUCCUCAGGGCCCAUGGUACUGAUGUCGCGAGGCUUCGGGAGAGUCGGUCGAUGCUCCUU